GGGGUUGUGGCUCAGCGGUACAGCGCUCGCCUAGCAUGUGCGAGGCCCUGGGUUUGAUCCUCAGCACCACG
rnacentral:tRNA from 1 species